rnacentral:rRNA from 1 species
CCUACGGGAGGCAGCAGUGGGGAAUCUUGCACAAUGGGCGAAAGCCUGAUGCAGCAACGCCGCGUGCGGGAAGAAGGCCCUAGGGUUGUAAACCGCUUUCAGCAGGGAAGCGGUACCUGUAGAAGAAGGUGCGGCCAACUACGUGCCAGCAGCCGCGGUGACACGUAGGCACCAAGCGUUGUCCGGAUUUAUUGGGCGUAAAGAGCUCGUAGGCGGUUCGGUAAGUCGGGUGUGAAAACUCUGGGCUCAACCCAGAGCCGCCACCCGAUACUGCUGGACUUGAGUUCGGUAGGGAGGGGAAUUCCUGGUGUAGCGGUGAAAUGCGCAGAUAUCAGGAGGAACACCAGUGGCGAAGGCGCCGCUCUGGCCAGACUGACGCUGAGGAGCGAAAGCGUGGGUAGCAAACAGGAUUAGAUACCCUUGUAGUC